ACCUAAUGACUUGGUGCCGAUGCUUCACCUCUCCCAAGGGGGGCGUCAUACACCAGGGGACUCAGGGGUGUGUCCGCCACCCUCAGCCAGGGCAGCUGUCCACUCUCAGCCACGGAGCCGUGGGUGCUCAGCGUCUCCACGCCUCGGGAGCUAGGCACGCUCCUGAUCACCCAGCCUUGAGCUGCCCAGCGGCUGGAGAAUCACAGGGUGAUGUGGUCAGGCCCAGAAGGUUUGCUGUGUGAUUGCUUCAUACCACAGGGCGCUUCCUGUCUCGAGCUGAAGAAUGAAGGAGGGGUUUUCUUAGGAGAGGCAGAUUUUCAACAAAUUCCUUUUCUGUGUGUGUACAAGAAGGUGCAUUGCAACAUUAUCUGUAAGAGGAAAUAACUGGGAAAAAAUGGUUGCCAAUUGGAGACUGAAAUAAGUUAUGGUAUUUCCAUAUAGUGGAAUAAAAAAAGAGGAGGAUCUGUAUUUCCUGCUAUGGAAAGGUCUCCAAGACAUACACCAGGUGGAAAAAAAGUUACCCAAGGUCAACCGCUGUUUUGGAUACUGGAGUCAAAGAAGGGCCCUCUUUGAGAGAAACCUGGGUGAAGAAGAAAGGAACCACACAGCCACCCACAGCAACAAGUGGGCCAAAGCACAAGCACAGAGACUGGAAAAGAAAAUGGAGACAGGGGAACAGGAAGAGAAGAGAAAACAAAACAAGGCUAGGUCACCAAAGGUGAUAGAGCGUCCACCUGGUUUUCUCUCUUGGGAUGCUCACCUUGGAACUCAGCCACCGCUUGUGAGGAAGCCCAGGCACAGGGCGAGGCCACGUGGAGAAGAAGCAAGGCCCCCAG
rnacentral:lncRNA from 1 species